rnacentral:ncRNA from 1 species
AGUAAUUUUUGAUUGCUAAAUCAGAGAUUUAGACAAUCACUUAAGUUGACGAGGUUGGGGAGUAUCGAAACUUCGGCGGGUGCCCCACGGUAUUUGCACUACCGUUAACAACUGGCAAAGCUAUAAAGUAAUUUAUAGAACAAAUCCAGUUAGGUGUUAAA